AUUGAACGCUGGCGGCAUGCCUUACACAUGCAAGUCGAACGGCAGCGCGGACUUCGGUCUGGCGGCGAGUGGCGAACGGGUGAGUAAUGUAUCGGAACGUACCAUUCAGUGGGGGAUAACUGCGGGAAACUGUAGCUAAUACCGGAUAUGACACCUUGGGGCAUCCCAGGGUGUGGAAAGAAUUUCGGUCAAGGAUGAGCUCGCGGCCUAUCAGCUAGUUGGUGAGGUAAUGGCUCACCAAGGCGACGACGGGUAGCCGGCCUGAGAGGGUGACCGGCCACACUGGAACUGAGACACGGUCCAGACUCCUACGGGAGGCAGCAGUGGGGAAUAUUGCACAAUGGGCGAAAGCCUGAUGCAGCAACGCCGCGUGAGGGAUGAAGGCCUUCGGGUUGUAAACCUCUUUUAGCAGGGAAGAAGCGAAAGUGACGGUACCUGCAGAAAAAGCACCGGCUAACUACGUG
rnacentral:rRNA from 1 species